GCGCUCUAUAUAUAGAGUUAGAUUAUGCGUCUUGAUACUGUACCAGAGGGAUCGGUCAAUUGUGGGUUAUUGAUUACACUGGGUGAGUCUACUUACUUAUUACUUGAGGAUGAAAAAAAAACGUGUUUUUUAAAUGUUGCUAUUAACAAGGGUGUCGGUUGAACUACAAAAUGUACAACAACAGUUAAUUCACAACAAAUCGUACGGUAUGUUUUAUAAUCAGAAGAAGCUAGUCGUAUUUACGCUUAUGAGACCUGUUUCACCCAUAAGUAAAGAAUUCAGAGGUCCAUCAUGAAAUAUUUUCUCCAGCGCGCAUAUACUUCACCUAUUCCAUAUUAUCGCGGCCUCCAGGCGCGAUCAAUAACAAUAGCUUAGGUGGUAGUAACAAUUUCCAUUGUAUUCAGAAUCAUAUUUCCUUUUCAUGAAAAGCGUGCACUGCUACAAAUAAUGAGUUUACACAAAUGCUAAAUUGUAGUUGUGGAAAUUUAAAUGUUAGUAGGUUAAGGUUAGACUUAACAAGUUUAUCUAUUAAUUCUAGAAAACGCAUAGAUGUUUUGAUGUAUUAUAAGGUUGUUACAAUAACAUUUAGUACAUGUUGUGUUUUUUCACACAGAAAUUCAAUUGAUUCAUAUCAAAACCGGAUUGUUUAUUCAUUUUUCAAUCGCAUUUUUCCUAUUUCCGACUUAAUGCUUUAUUAAUUUGUCACGUUGCAUCAGACGUAAAUCUGUCCUAGGUUGAUGUUUUGGUGUUUCAACACUAGAAGUUGCAUAAUUGCACGUCGUUUUCAUAUCAGCAAUGCUAUUGCGAAAUGGUUUAUCUUUAAACGGGUAUGUUUUCAAUUGUAACAACAAGAAUGGUUUGUAUUCUUGACAUGGAUAUAUAUUCAUAAGUUAAUCAUGACUAUAAUAACUUCAAUAUGAACAUUUCAUAUAAUUUUGCCGCUGUCGUUUUUGUACAAAAUGAUUCAUUGACCUUAGAAGUGUUGUGCAUUUCAAACCUUUUAAUUUUCAUGCAAAUUAUUCAAUGAGGAAACCUACGCGACGACAAUAUUUCAAUAAACUUAUCAACGAGAAACAAAAUGCUACUUAAGAAUCAAAAACACUUUUGUGAUGCCUGAAUAAUCUUUUGUUAAACGUUUAUGUUUGUAUUAUUAUAUAUUCUAUUUUAUGACUUACGUAUAUAUCUGAAAGGAGCAAACGGGUGCAAAUUUUGAAAAUAUGAAUAGAAUCAACAUUUGGUAUGGGUUCUUCACGUAUAUCAUAUUCUAUUCGUUUAGGGUUUCAAACUUCAGUAUAUAAAAUCUAAAAAAAAGGUUGUUUCAUAUUUUAAAGCAGAUUAUGGACAAAUCUAUACGGAGCCAAUCUACUGUAAUGAUAAUAAUAUAAUAUUGCCGGCAAUUUUUACCAAAUACUAUGCUUUUUUUUAUUCUUUUUUUAUUCUAUUUUUAUUCUUAUUUUUUUCUUCUUCUCUUCUUUUUCUUUUCUUUCUUUCUUUUUUUCUCUUUUUCUUUCUUUUCUUUUACCGGUUUCGGUGAUUAAUUAUCCCCGUUUUCUAACGAUACUGUUAUGUAAUUGCUUCUAUUAUAUUGUAACAUGAUUCAAAUUGUUUGUCAGUUCAACAAAGAAGGCAGUCAAGAAUUUGAUAAUAAAUUAUAUUUACAUUCGCUCUUAAUGACGUUCAAUUUGUAUUUAUCGUUGAGGAAAAGCGUUGAAAGUAUAAUAACGCCGCUUGGUGAUGGCACAAGACCACAGUUAUUUGCCCUUGGUUGACCACAAUACGGAAGUGGUUACGCGGAAAAUAGUUCCUCUGUUUGAUGGUGAAUAUUGGUGAAUUUUUGAGUGAAAGACCUGCAAUAAAUGGCAUGAUUUAAUAGAGGAGAUAUGAAAUAGUAGGUACAUGUACAAUUAGACAGAAUAAAAAUGUCAGAAUAUGCAUAACAUGACUUUUUGAUAGGGCCUGUUUUGCCUGUUUGCGGCCAUCUAGAGAGUAUUCUUCAUACGCAUGUGAUUUGGUUCAAAAUGGUGGAAAAAAGAGCCGGUCAACCCAAUGUUUACUGUGGCUGGAAUUUUUUCUCUUGGAUAGUUCUGUUGAGCUCAGGUAUUUUUAUAGGGGUUGGAAUGCAUGCAAAAUUGCUAUAGUGUCUAGUGCCUAUAUAGAACAUAUAGUAAAAAUAACUGUGGUCUUAGGCCUGAUAUAGUGGAAAAUGUCAGAAAGUAAAUUGUCAAUAUUUUUGUUAUUUUUCAAUCUACAUGGCUGAAAUUUUGACAGUGAAUGGCUGGUAGGCAUAGAAAUCUGUACCUAAAAACCUGAAAUGAGAGCGCUCGGACAAUGUGAAGUUUGUCGCAUAGACGGGGAUUGACCGCCUUUGUACAUGUAUGUCUACAGCUUCUCAGAUUUGACCGAAGACAGUUGUUCGGUGUUGUGAAUGGAUGUUGUUCGGCCGAAGGCCUUCCAGUCACACAGAAGAUCCUGGUUCGGUCACACGAAGGGUCACUUCCAUUGAUAUUAGUCACAGGAAAAAUUAGGAGCACCAGUUGUAGUUUCUCAGGUUGAUAUUUAUUAAGGUUUUUGCUGAAAUUAAGCCAGUUUGGAACAUUCAGCAGGCAGUGAUGUACAUUAAAAUCAUUCUUUAUAGAGAUAGGGGCUGUUUUGCCAGAAUGCUCAGCUGUGAUACACAGUGUAAGAUUUUGUGCAGUGUAAAUGGUCAUGGUGUGCAUGUUUCAUUUACAGAGUGCACUGAAUGCCUGUAAACUGUAAGAUUUGAGUGAAAUAUUCAUUCCAGAAAGACUCAUAAGCUUUUUAGUAGGCUCACAUAUUGGAUUUUUCAGAGCUGUUUGGCUCAUUUUACCUAGGGUAGCCAUAAAUGAAGGAUCACUGAAAAGUAUAUGACACAUAUAUGUACAAAAGCUAUUCAUUCUCAUAUUUGCCACAUACUGGGCUGCUUAAAAAAGGCAAAUUUGACAGCUACAGGAUUUUUCUUAGUUCACAUAUUACUUUUUCGUGUGAGUAGACUCCGCGUUUUGACGUGCUUUUUGUAAUAUGAAUAGUUUUCCUUAAAAUUGGAACAGUGAUAUUGUAAUCAGACUUGAAGUGGCUCUUAAUUUGGAUAGAUGUAUAUUAAGGAAACAUGCUGUUUUUUAUUUUGGGUGAAAAUCUCAUCAAACAAAAAAGUUAUAGAAUGUUGCGUUUUUUUCAUCUGAAAAGUACGCGAACUUUUUUUUGCUCAGAUUUGACCGAUACCAUGUGUAACAUUGGAAGCUGUCAAAUUUUAGUGCAUAGUUCAACAAAAGUGUAACUUUCAGAUUUAAUUUGCUAUACAUCUGAGAUUAUACUGGUAAAAUAUUUUUUAGUUUGGAGAGAAAAAUAGGUCUAAAUAGGCACAAGACCACAGUUAUUUGCCCUUGGUUGACCACAAUACGGAAGUGGUUACGCGGAAAAUAGUUCCUCUGUUUGAUGGUGAAUAUUGGUGAAUUUUUGAGUGAAAGACCUGCAAUAAAUGGCAUGAUUUAAUAGAGGAGAUAUGAAAUAGUAGGUACAUGUACAAUUAGACAGAAUAAAAAUGUCAGAAUAUGCAUAACAUGACUUUUUGAUAGGGCCUGUUUUGCCUGUUUGCGGCCAUCUAGAGAGUAUUCUUCAUACGCAUGUGAUUUGGUUCAAAAUGGUGGAAAAAAGAGCCGGUCAACCCAAUGUUUACUGUGGCUGGAAUUUUUUCUCUUGGAUAGUUCUGUUGAGCUCAGGUAUUUUUAUAGGGGUUGGAAUGCAUGCAAAAUUGCUAUAGUGUCCAGUGCCUAUAUAGAACAUAUAGUAAAAAUAACUGUGGUCUUAGGCCUGAUAACGUACAAAACAAAAUAUGUACAAUUUAAGAAAUUAAAUUGUUAUCAAAAGGGAAGGAAAUCUAACGUAGUAAUAAGAAAUUAUUUGUCGGGGUUCAUGCAAACUCAAUGAAAAAAUAUGAUUGGCAAAGUGUAGCUACAACAAUACAUAGAUUUUCAGAUUAUAUUCUGUCGUUCAAUUUGUAUGACGUAAUCUCUUAAGGACACGCUAAGUAGUAAAGAGUGCGCUCUUAAGGACACACUAAGGAGGGAUUCGUGCCAGGUUUAACAUCUUGUUUGCGCAGGCUGGUCUAUGCUGGUCGCAAAGACACUAUGUUGGUUUUCUCAUGGCACGGCUGAUAUGUCAAUAUUUCAGUUUGACACGAUCAUCAGAUUUCAUUCUGGUGAUUAAUAAGUAACAAAAUAAUAAGCGUAGUAACGUAGCAGAAUUUAUACAAAACAAGGAGAUAAAGUAGUACGCAAAUAUGAACAAAACAUUUUACAUUUUCUCUCCCGCUUGCUCUGUCGAAUUUUCGAAAUAGUCAGUCUGAUAGGUGUAUAUACGGAUAUACAGCUGAUUAUACACUAAGGUUUCGACCAAUUUAUAGUUUUAUUCACGAAGGUUAUUUCGAUAUUGGCGUUUGCCUGCCGGGUAGGUUUAUGUACAUGGCAAGUAUCACUGCCGGGCACCCUACUUGAACUUCAUACUGAAUGAAACAUCGGUCUGUAAGUGUGUAAAAACCCACAAGGAAUAGUGCUUUUGUUCAUCUCAGACAGUUGUCUACCUGAGGAAAAAUGAAUUUAAUAUUGAUACAGAUGCCUUACAAAACAAAUCGCAUUUCAAAAACUGUGCUUAAAAACCCUUUCUCAAAGUUCACCAAUUUAAGAGUUAAAACAAAACUUAAAACUGUAAUGAAUAUAUUUAAGAGAAAAAUAUAUUCCAAAUUAGAUAUUAAACAGAACUUAGUAUAUAUAGUGGCAUGGACCCAAUUUUAUCAGUUUUAAUUUGUAAAUGAUCAAACAAUAAUUGAGCAAAUGCAUAGCUUUUACAUUUCGUUGUUGUCCUUUUCUACCAUCCAAGCAAUUAUAAAUAGUACUGAUUUAAAUUUGUGCUUGCUACGUGAGUUGAAAUUAACAUUUUAAUGACUGUUGUUUUUCUGUUUUAUUUUAUAUCCAGAACGUAUGCUUGUCGAGUGUUUCUCGGAGAAAGAGAACAUGGGUGAUCCACAGAAUCCACAGAAUCCGUUUUUUUAGAAUGGUAUUUCAAACUUUAUAUUGCCAGUCUGAUAAUAAUAGCCAAAUAUGCUUUCAUACGAGUAUUUUGAUACAUGUUGGUAAUUGAAAUGUAGAAUUCAGUUUAUCUAUUGUCUUAGUACUUCACUUGCGUAACAUAGUUUAAACUUUCUUGCUCGAGUAUGAAAUAUUAAAUGGUUACAAAAGAGUGUAUUGUAAUCGAGUAUACGUGUAUUCAUAAGAGUUGCUGUUAUGAUAUCAGUGCAUUUUCAACAACAAAACUAGGUUUUACAUUGUCAAAAGUAAGAGUCUGACAAAACGAAUAAUAAAGUGACAUAUCUGUAAAAGCAAAAUAACUCGCAUUGUUCUGAGGAUGACUGGUCUGACUAGUAUUAUAAAUGUUGUGAUUGGUAGACAAGUUCUUUUUGGUUUACAACCACGUUUUUGCUUAUUUUCAAAGUAGGUAAGAACGAUUUUGUUUUAAGUUACUUAAAUUAUAUCCCUAAAUCAUUUGAGCAAGCCGUAUUUAAGAACUUUGUUUGUAUUUGAAUUUCAUCUGCCUUUGCAAGAGCUCACACUGCGAAAAAAGAGUUAAUAUACGGGAGUGUACGGGAUCCCGUAUAUUACCCGUAUACGGGAAGAAAUACGGGAAAACUAAAAUACGGGCGUGUACGGGGCUUGUAUAUUUAAAAGUCCGUAUACUAAUAAAAUACGGAUUUCCGUAUACUAUGAAAUACGGAAUUCUUAGUAUACGAUACCCCGUAUAUUAUUGAAAUACGGGAAAUUCUAAAAAGGGUUAUUCUGAUCGUAUACAACACCGUGUAUUCCCGUAUAUGUCUGGUGUACGGGAAUACAUAAAUCCGUUGGAAGGCAGCUAAGAGAUAAUAAGCUCACUCAAUGCAACUAGGUCAUAUCAAAAUACAUCAGUUUAUGACAACUGACUGAUAAUUUUAGUAGUCCUAAUUCUAUAUAUGUAGUGCAUUUCAUCCGAAGUGGAAACAUUUAUAACAAGUACUCAUUGAAAACAAAAGCAUGCACUUGGGAAGUUUUCCACAUCAGAGUGGUAUUCUUUUUACACGUGUGCUACACACGUUUACCCAUUGAUAUGCAUGCUGACGUACUGUUAGUUCGAUUUUUUUAUAAAUGGAACAAACAUUUGAGAACCUAUCUUCUCUCGUAUUAUAUUUAUCUAUAAUGUCGAAUGAAUUAAGACAAUGUCUUGAUUUUCUCCAAAUUGUGCUACUAUUUUGAUAAAUAGAAAAAUGAAGUAAGUUUUGUUUUAACUCUCAAUUUAUUUAACUCAUUGAAUAUAUAUCAAUAUUUAAGGGGUUGAAGAUUUUUUUCAUCAGUCUCUGUUCGAAGUUCAUAGAUGAUUGCUUAUAGCUUUUCACUGUGUAUCUUAGAAAUACAUGUAUUAUUAGUUACACAGCUUGUAUGUGACAGGAUACGGGAUAUACGCUGUCUCGAAAAUCCAUAUCAGGCUCGAGCAAAGACAGCGUAUAUCCCGUAUCCUGUCACCAACAAGCUGUGUAACGAUUUUAUCUUGCCGACUACCCUUUACUUACAUGGUAUAAUCUAAUUUUUUGUAAAUUAACAAAGCUACUUACAGAUACUGUCGGACUGGGCUCCUGCAAUGAUUUGUUUGGUCAUCAUGUUUUGUUUAUAAUUGAUUUACACCAGCCAUAAAAUGCACAAUGACCUGUAUUUUGAUUAAAUCACAAAACACAAAAGCUCAUUUAUGCAGGUUAUGAACUGGCUUAGAUCAAAAGGUUUAGAAACUUUCUGUUCCAUCUUUUCGAAAAUCACCAGAUUUCACGAUGUCACAAAUGUCUUGAAACUUCGGCGUUCAUCUCAUUUCCUGUUGCACGUAGAUAAAUGAUCUUACAACAAACUGUUGAGUAUCAAAUAUGAAAAUUCCUUUGCUUUAUGAUGAUUUAACUGAAAACAAAAAUUCAACGUCCGUGUCUCCUAUACAGAUUUAUUCCGCGUUUACGGCUAACUUCUGUGAAACUUCACGAGCCUAAACUAAGUAGAAUGAAUGAAAACGGCAAGAAAAUAUUAAAUUUACUCUUGAAAACCGAUACUAUCGCUAGAGCUAAUUAUUAAUCUGACUUGUUUCAAUUACGGGGCAGUUCCUGAUAAAAUUUGAAUCGUCACACGAUAUACAUUGUAUAGCAUCCUGAAAGGCAGUACACAAUUAUAACAGCCUUAUAUAUCGCAGGUAUAAGAUGUAAUACAUUGUUAUAAUAUAUUAACAUUUCCCGAACAAUACUACCACGUGGGAGACACCAAUCUAUUCAUAUUAUUUAAGUUCCUUAUUCAUACAUAUUUCUAUUAUUACUUACAUUAAUUUUUUCAUAUGCUUUCAACAUGCUAAUGUAUCUCACUUUAAGAUACUUUGCCGCCAGGUGCGCAGAUCCAACAGACUUCCAUAAGCCUAUACCAAUUUCUCUCCAACCUUCUGAAGAAACAUUGUAAACACUUGAUAACACGACAAGUAUAAUAUAAACUUUUGAUAUAUUCAACAUUAUCUCCGGUAAUAAUUUAUCAUGUAUCAAAUAGAGAGAACCUUUUAACUCGCUUGCUUUAAAAUAUAUUUAUAUUUAUAUAC